CAUAUUAUAACGAUAAAUCCGGCCCCCCGAAUGAUAUUCGCGCGGGCUCUCCUCUUACGUUCGCAUGCAUACGGAAUAUCCGAUAGACACCGUCGGUCUCUUCGCGUACGCGUAACCGUGUAACGUAAUGCGCGUGAGCAACAGCAAACAUCAAUAAUGCGUGCGUACACAGUCGACGAAAACAGCGUAAUCAACUCGAUUGUAAUUUAGACUUCCC